CACACAGAAAAAUUCAUAUCAAUCAAUGACUGUGUCCAUCAAAGUUCAAAGCUAAGUCAAAUAGUUUUAGAGAUGGAAUGCCCCACUAUGGACUGUCUUAAUUAUAAAGAACACAGAGUUCUUGAUUUUCUUAGCUCUCUGCUUUUUCCCCUUUUUCUCAUCCAGGCUGACCUUUGGCUAUCUUAUUGCUUACCAAUAUUAUUUUUCACCAGGAAAAGAGAUGACACUCCUAACUUCCCUUAGCUUUUUGUAAUGUUGGUAAAAAGUUUUGUGGGGUAUGCAACUGAAGAUAGUUUGGGGAUUACCUGGGGCUAUUCUUUAGGUUUUAAUCCUAUCGUCUCUUCAUGUAUAUCUUUAUUUGAAUAUUCUCUAUUUGGGGUUAAUGGCUCUAACUUAAGGAUGUCCUCCUACCCGAUCUUUUAAUAACUUUAUUUUUCCCUAGCUGAAAAUCCAAGUCUUCUUCAUUCUAGUGUAGGGACCUGUAAUUAUCCUGAAGAGAGAGCAUGAGAAUUCUGUUUCAUUUAUGUGAGGAAUAACUGACUUGGGGUUGAAGAAACUCAUAGGUGACGCUCAUUUCCAGGAUAAUUUUUCUUCUCACAGCCAACAGAUAGUCCUUGAACCAAAAGGAAUUAUGAGAACUCUGCUUAUUUUUGGAAACAUGAAGAAUGAUGAAACCUGUUCAGCAAUGCAUAUUCAUCGGACUGCAGAGGUUUAAUGACAUCAGGGAACCAAACGGAUAAUCCAUAGUACCUGCAAAGACAAAGAAAUCAGCAGAAAUGGAGUAAGACAUCUGACAUCCUGGCCCCAAUAUCUUUCUCAUCAUUCCAGUCUGCUCUGAGAAACUCUCUCUCCUAGUCUGGUGGUACAAACUCCUGGGAUCCAAGCACGGUGAGAGCCCCUAAAGAAUGACCUCUUUUGCUAAUGGGGAAUCUUUCUUGGUUCCUACACUGCUGUGAUACUGCUAUCCUGGGGGUAGAAUGCCAGUUCCCAAGGUAGUUAGAGGCUGGGAAGAGGACAUUCGUGUUAUUCUCAGAGAUUCCAAGUUAUUUCCCCUUUCUGCCUCUUGACCUCUAAUGUGUUAUUCUAACAGCUGUGUCAUGCUGCUGUACUGUUCAGUACAGAAGCCACUAACCACGUGUGCCUACCAGGCAGUU
rnacentral:lncRNA from 1 species